rnacentral:miRNA from 1 species
AAGCAAAAUGGGAUGCAAAUA